UCUGGCUCUCGUCUCACAAUAAGCCAAGACCGGCGUCAGCGUCCCUGUGAGUACAUAGUUUCAAAACCCACUUUGCACGUCUGCUUGGUGGAAUUUGCUCCGUGUGGUACCGCAGUGUUCAAAGCAGCGACAGUGUGCUCCUCCUGUGUUCCGCGAGAUUAACAAAAAAAACAAGUGAACUGCACGUCAAUCUCCACGCACGGACGGACGGACGGACGGACGUCCCAGCUUGCCAAUUCCACCGUGACCAAGUUGGCUCCGCGCGGAUGGCAUCGCGAUACCGGCUCCAAGAUGGCAUUUACAGUCGUCAACGCCACUGAGGAGUCGCUCGGCGAGGUGGAUGUACGUAUGUUUGAGAAUAGCAGUCGCCACGAGCUCGUCCCGUCCGUUGUCUGCUUCGUCUGCCUUUCGUUCGGCCUCAUCUACUGCUUCCUGGGGUACCGCUGUUUCAAGAUGGUCAUCUUCUCUUCUGGCUUCCUGUUCGGAUCAACAUCCGUCCUGUGGCUGUACCACAAUGAGCCCCCGCCGCAAGUCCACCCGGGGGCCGAGACCAAAGCCGGGAUCGGCCUCGGCGCCGGGGCGCUCUGCGGCCUGGCGAGCGUGCUGGUGUCCACGUUGGGUCUCCUCCUCUGCGGCCUCCAGCUGGGCUGCCUGCUCUCCUGCGGCACCCUCGUGAUUAUUGGACAGUUUUACAGCGUGGCGCCCGUGUGGGUGCCCCUCAGCGUCAUCAUGGCUGCCGGCAUUGCCACGGCUGUGCUCACGCUGCAGUGGCAGAAACUGUUUGUCAUCAUAUACACAUCUUUUUUUGGUGCCACCACUGUGAUGCUGUGCGUGGAUUACUUGGUGGGCGCCUUUAUGCUGCUCGAUCAGGUUUAUGAUAUGUUUUGUCAAGCAUCCCCACUUCCACUCUGCUGGUUCAACUGGGUCAUAACUGGGAUUUGCCCUCUUUUCGGCCUGACAGGCGUGUUGACACAGUGGAAGUUGACUCAUACAGAGGCUCCGCAUAAAAAUCGGAAGAAACGUGCCAAGAAGCAUAAAUACGCAGAAUUCAGAAGAAGGCAACAGUACCGUCGGCGUGGGCCUCCGCCUCUAAAACGCUACGCUGGGGACGUCCUUGCACCGGUCCGUUUACAAGCAAAGUAACACUUGAUGAGAAAGAUUUGAACUUUCUGUGGAAAUAAACUACUCCCGAAAACAACUACUGGAUAUUCAGCUUGGAAGGGAAAUUUCUGGAUGAAUUUCAAAUACACUAUAACCUUUACAGGUGAACCUAAUUUGACCUUCUCGAAACUUUGGAAUGCACAGAUACGAUUGUUCAGUCUUUUCGUACUUCCGUGAAAAGGAGCGCAAUGGCAAACUUCACCACAGGUGUUUGAGCCAUGACUCGACCAAUACAUUUCCUGGUGCGAAUUGCUAUUUAACGUAAUGCAGGCCUAUGGGAGGCACAAGCCAAUGCAAACUGUAGGCCGGUCCCAAUCCCGGAUAAAUGCAGAGCGUUGCGUCAGGAAGGGCAUCCGGCUUCAAACCUUGCCAAACAAAUAUGAGCGUUCAUCCGAAGAAUUCCAUACCGGAUCGGUCGUGGCCCGGGUUAACAACGUCCGCAAAUUCAGCUACUGUGGGUCGAAGUCGAAGAGAUGGAAAGCGGGUUCUUCGGCAGAAAUAGAAGAGGAAAGCAUAGAGGCUAGAACUGAAUGUGGGGACUUUGAAUGUUGGGACUAUGACAGGAAAAUCUCGGGAGUUGGUUGGCAUGAUGAUUAGGAGAAAGGUUGAUAUAUUGUGUGUCCAGGAGACCAGGUGGAAAGGCAGUCAGGCUAGAAGUUUAGGGGCAGGGUUGAAAUUAUUUUGCCAUGGUGUAGAUGGGAAGAGAAAUGGAGUCGGGAUUAUUUUAAAAGAAGAGUUGGCUACGAAUGUCUUGGAAGUGAAAAGAGUAUCAGAUCGAGUGAUGAGGCUGAAACUUGAAAUUGUGUGAUUAGUGGCUAUGCCCCACAGGUAGGAUGUGACCUAGAGGUGAAAGAGAAAUUCUGGAAGGAGCUAGACGAUGUAGUUCUGAGCAUCCCAGACAGAGAGAGAGUCGUAAUUGGUGCAGAUUGUAAUGGACAUGUUGGUGAAGGAAAUAGGGGUGAUGAAGAAGUGAUGGGUAAGUACGGCAUCCAGGAAAGGAACUUGGAGGGACAGAUGGUGGUAGACUUUGCAACAAGGAUGCAAAUGGCUGUAGUGAACACUUUUUUCCAGAAGAGGCACGAACAUAGGGUGACCUACAAGAGCGGAGGUAGAAGCACACAGGUGGAUUACAUCUUGUGCAGACGAUGUCAUCUGAAGGAGGUUACCAACUGUAAGGUUGUGGUAGGGGAGAGUGUGGCUAGACAGCAUAGGAUGGUGGUGUGUAAGAUGACUCUGGUGGUGGGGAGGAAGAUUAGGAAGACAAAGGCAGAGAAGAGAACCAUGUGGUGGAAGCUGAGACAGGACGACUGUUGUGCAGCUUUUCGGGAAGAGGUGAGACAGGCUCUCGGUGGACGGCUAGAGCUUCCAGAAGACUGGACCACUGCAGCCAAGGUGAUCAGAGAGGCAGGCAGGAGAGUACUUGGUGUAUCUUCUGGCAGCAAAGGAGAGGAGGAGACUUGGUGGUGGAACCUCACAGUACAGGAAAUCAUACAAGGAAAACGGUUAGCUAAGAAGAAGUGGGACACCGAGAGGACCGAGGAGAGGCGAAAGGAAUACAUUGUGGUUUCAUGCCGAGAAAGAGUACCACAGAUGCAUUAUUUGUCUUGAGGAUGUUGAUGGAAAAGGUCAGAAGGAGCUACAUUGUGUCUUUGUAGAUCUAGAGAAAGUACCCAGAGAGGAACUGUGGUACUGCAUGAGGAAGUCUGGAGUGGCAGAGAAGUAUGUUAGAAUAAUACAGGACAUGUACGAGGGCAGCAGAACAGCGGUGAGGUGUGCUGUCGGUGUGACAGAAGAAUUUAAGGUGGACGUGGGACUGCAUCAGGGAUCAGCCCUGAGCCCCUUCCUGUUUGCAGUGGUGAUGGAUAGGCUGACAGAUGAGGUGAGACUGGAAUCCCUGUGGACCAUGAUGUUUGCAGAUGACAUUGUGAUCUGCAGUGAAAGCAGGGAGCAGCUGGAGGAACAGUUAGAAAGAUGGAGGCAUGCACUGGAAAGCAGAGGAAUGAAGAUUAGCCGACGUAAGACAGAAUAUAUGUGCAUGAAUGAGAGGGGUGGUGGGGGAAGAGUGAAGCUACAGGGAGAAGAGAUGGCAAGGGUGGAGGACUUGAAAUACUUGGGGUCAACCGUCCAGAGCAAUGGUGAGUGUGGUCAGGAAGUGAAGAAACGGGUCCAAGCAGGUUGGAACGGGUGGAGGAAGGUGUCGGGUGUUUUAUGUGACACAAGCGUCUCUGCUAGGAUGAAGGGCAAAGUAUAGAAGACAGUGGUGAGGCCAGCCAUGAUGGACGCAUUCGAGACAGUGGCACUGAAGAGACAACAGGAAGCAGAGCAAAUGAAGAUGCUGAGGUUCGCUCUCGGAGUGACCGGAUUGGAUCAAAUUAGAAAUGAGCUCAUCGGAGGGACGGCCGAGGUUCGAUGUUUUGGAGACAAAGUUAGAGAGAGCGGAUUUGGAUGCUUUGGACACGUCCAGAGGAGAGAGAGAGAGAGAGAGAGAGAGAGUAUAUUGGUCGAAGGAUGAUGAGGAUGGAGCUGCCAGGCAAGAGAGCGAGAGGAGGACCAAAGAGAAGGUGGAUGGAUGUCGUGAGGGAAGAAGACAUGAUGGCAGUUGGUGUUGGAGAGGAGGAUGCAGGCGAUGGGCUUACGUGGAAAAGGAUGACGCGCUGUGGCGACCUCGAAAGGGACAAGCCCAAAGGAAAAGAAGAAGAAUUGAGUUACCUGCGCAGCCUGCAGGAGCGCCAGGCGGGAACGUGCUCGUCCACGAGCAGCGACGGCGCCAUCGCACGCGCUCUCGUCGACUUUGACUUUGAAACAGGCUCCACGGUGUCUUUGACCGCAGCCUCGCCAGCUU